CCACCAGGUAACUGGCAGAAUAAAGGAAACACCAACAUAGUGUCUUAAUAAGGUGUUGGGCCACCAGGUAACUGCCAGAAUAAAGGAAACACCAACAUAGUGUCUUAAUAAGGCGUUGGGCCACCAGGUAACUGCCAGAAUAAAGGAAACACCAACAUAGUGUCUUAAUAAGGCGUUGGGCCACCAGGUAACUGCCAGAAUAAAGGAAACACCAACAUAGUGUCUUAAUAAGGCGUUGGGCCACCAGGUAACUGCCAGAAUAAAGGAAACACCAACAUAGUGUCUUAAUAAGGCGUUGGGCCACCAGGUAACUGCCAGAAUAAAGGAAACACCAACAUAGUGUCUUAAUAAGGCGUUGGGCCACCAGGUAACUGCCAGAAUAAAGGAAACACCAACAUAGUGUCUUAAUAAGGGGUUGGGCCACCAGGUAACUGCCAGAAUAAAGGAAACACCAACAUCGUGUCUUAAUAGGGGGUUGGGCCACCAGGUAACUGCCAGAAUAAAGGAAACACCAACAUCGUGUCUUGAUAAGGAAUUGGGCCACUAUUCAAUAACAGUGAAUGUUAAUUGCUUAAUUACAACCUCACCUGCUUUCAAUAAACUUUGUAGCCACCAUUUACUCAGGUGUUUCCUUUAUUUUGCCAGUUACCUGAAUCUCAGUAGUAACAGAGCAGGAAGCAGGAAGCAUGAGUGAUGCUCUGGAACACUCUAUAUCUCAGU